AACGCACCUUGCGCUCCUUGGUAUUCCGAGGAGCAUGCCUGUUUGAGUGUCAUCGAAUUCUCAACCAUUCUCUCUUUUCUGGGAGUAUGGCUUGGACUUGGGGGUUGCUGGCAGCACUGUCAGCUCUCCUUAAAUGUAUUAGCAAUCGAGUUGGCUAGUCUUUCGACGUACACGGCCUCGGACGUGAUAAUGAUCGUCGUGGCUGGAGCGUCUUUCCUAGACUAUGUACAUAGAUCGCUUCUAAUCUGUCGUCUAUCGAGCUUAGCUACUAGGCAGUCUUUUUGGCUGGCGAACGCAAGCGAGACAUUCACAUUCUCAGAGACUUGACCUCAAAUCAGGUAGGACUACCCGCUGAACUUAA
rnacentral:misc_RNA from 2 species